rnacentral:rRNA from 1 species
ACGGGAGGCAGCAGUGGGGAAUAUUGCACAAUGGGCGAAAGCCUGAUGCAGCGACGCCGCGUGAGCGAAGAAGUAUUUCGGUAUGUAAAGCUCUAUCAGCAGGGAAGAAGAAAUGACGGUACCUGACUAAGAAGCCCCGGCUAACUACGUGCCAGCAGCCGCGGUAAUACGUAGGGGGCAAGCGUUAUCCGGAUUUACUGGGUGUAAAGGGAGCGCAGGCGGCAGGGCAAGUCUGAUGUGAAAGCCCGGGGCUCAACCCCGGGACUGCAUUGGAAACUGCUCAGCUAGAGUGUCGGAGGGGUAAGUGGAAUUCCUAGUGUAGCGGUGAAAUGCGUAGAUAUUAGGAGGAACACCAGUGGCGAAGGCGGCUUACUGGACGACAACUGACGCUGAGGCUCGAAAGCGUGGGGAGCAAACAGGAUUAGAUACCCUGGUA